rnacentral:rRNA from 1 species
UUAUACAACUUUCAACAACGGACCUCUUGGCUCUCGCAUCGAUGAAGAACGCAGCGAAAUGCGAUAAGUAAUGUGAAUUGCAGAAUUCAGUGAAUCAUCGAAUCUUUGAACGCACCUUGCGCUCCUUGGUAUUCCGAGGAGCAUGCCUGUU